UACGGGGGGGGCAAGCGUUGUUCGGAAUUAUUGGGCGUAAAGGGCUCGUAGGCGGUCAAGUAAGUCAGACGUGAAAUCCCCAGGCUCAACCUGGGAACUGCGUCUGAUACUGGAUGGCUUGAAUUCGGGAGAGGGAUGCAGAAUUCCAGGUGUAGCGGUGAAAUGCGUAGAUAUCUGGAGGAAUACCGGUGGCGAAGGCGGCAUCCUGGACCGACAUUGACGCUGAUGAGCGAAAGCUAGGGGAGCAAACGGG
rnacentral:rRNA from 1 species